AAGCAGUGGUAGCAUUCAGAUCAAGGAGCAAAGCCAAAGCAGCGGAUACGCUGUGCCAUAUAUCUUGGUAAUACAGCGUUAUAGAUGCUGUAUGACUCAUUGUUUGAGUAGGUAAUGUGCGUAUAUGGCUUGGUAUUUAUCUCUGUCUGUGUUGGUACCGUUUAGUUCCCUGGUAGUCGUGUUGUCUAGUUUGAACGGUGUGUGUCAGCUAUAUUGUCGUAUAAUUCUACAGGCGUAGGAUUUAUUUAGUGUUGGAUUGGUCUUCCCAAAGGUCCGUCCAUGAUGCCCAAGAGGCCAGAAAGGCCUGUUUUUGUGAGGCAGUGCUUGUGGACAUGUAUUCGUAAGUGUAGUAUUGGUGUAUUUUGGUGAGGAGUUGGGAUUUGGAGGGGCAUUGGGUGCAUUUCCACUGGGUUGCGAUGAGAUUUCUCACUGCCAAGGCAGUGAGAGCCAUUUUGCAUUUGAUAUGUUUUGGGGUUAGUUUCGGGUAUAGGAGGAACAGUCCCGUGUGUAUG